rnacentral:rRNA from 1 species
CAUGCAGUCGAGGGGCAGCAUGACUGUAGCAAUACAGUUGAUGGCGACCGGCAAACGGGUGCGGAACACGUACAGAACCUUCCUUCGAGCGGGGAAUAGCCCAGAGAAAUUUGGAUUAAUACCCCAUAGUAUUGCGGAGUGGCAUCACUUUGCAAUUAAAGAUUUAUCACUCGAAGAUGGCUGUGCGGCUGAUUAGCUAGUUGGCGGGGUAACGGCCCACCAAGGCAACGAUCAGUAACUGGUGUGAGAGCACGACCAGUCACACGGGCACUGAGACACGGGCCCGACUCCUACGGGAGGCAGCAGUAAGGAAUAUUGGUCAAUGGACGCAAGUCUGAACCAGCCAUGCCGCGUGGAGGAUGAAGGUCCUCUGGAUUGUAAACUUCUUUUAUCUGGGACGAAAAAAGGUCUUUCUAGAUCAACUGACGGUACCAGAUGAAUAAGCACCGGCUAACUCCGUGCCAGCAGCCGCGGUAAUACGGAGGGUGCAAGCGUUAUCCGGAUUCACUGGGUUUAAAGGGUGCGUAGGUGGAUUGGUAAGUCAGUGGUGAAAUCUCCGGGCUUAACUCGGAAACUGCCAUUGAUACUAUCAGUCUUGAAUACCGUGGAGGCCAGUAGAAUAUGUCAUGUAGCGGUGAAAUGCUUAGAUAUGACAUAGAAUACCAAUUGCGAAGGCAGCUGGCUACGCGAAUAUUGACACUCAGGCACGAAAGCGUGGGGAUCAAACAGGAUUAGAUACCCUGGUAGUCCACGCCCUAAACUAUGGAUACUCGACAUACGCGAUACACUGUGUGUGUCUGAGCGAAAGCAUUAAGUA